AGAGACGAGCAUUGGAACUGAUCUGACUGAGCAAGCAUUUUCUGCAACGGUGAAUCCAAGAAGUCUGGUUUGUCUCUGCUGUGGAAGCUGCAAAAGGAAAGAUGCUAGCGAAUCGACCCUUGAAUCUGUCAAGGCAAAGAGAAAAGAGACUACUUUAAAACCUCGGCUGAUGUACUUUGAUGCCAAUGAAGGUGGUGAGAAUACCAGCAGCAGUGAUGCAAGAGAUGGUGGAAUGUUGAUAUUGGCUGGAGACUACGGCCUCUGUAACCACCAUUGUUGGUCAAGGAUCUGGUGCGAACAAGGGUACUGAAGUGGGUGAGGAAGGUGGCACCGACAUAGGAGGUGGUGGUGGUGGUGGUGCUUGUGGCGGCGGAGCCGGUGGGUGCGGUGCUGGUCUAGUAUACUAUAUUAACAUGUAAAUUAGGAUGAUCUUUGUGUGGGCUUUGUGUUGGCGAAGGAUAGUUCAUCUCGUAUGCGUAUAGCCUCAUUUACAGAAUGCUUGGUAAAUGUAUUUCCUUCUGCUACAAAGAAUUUCAUCCCAAUUAAAAGG